UUGUCAUCAUAACGCAGGUUUUUGCAAAACAAUUUGUGUUCAUUUAUUUCAUGGGACAAUCCUUUGCUAUGGUUUCUUUACUUAUUGGAAUCUGGGUGCAACUUUCCAUUAGGAAGAUAAAUAACAGAUCUACUGGGAUUUUAUUCUAAUAAAAGUACGAAAUAACUAAACAUGGCUUCGUUAAUAUUGCUGCAUAAUGUGUCAGGUGCUGUUCCAAUGAUUUAAGAGAUGAAAAGUGAUACGCGAUGCUGUGAAGUACUCAAAUGUAACUAUGUUGUUGUGUUGUUGUAACGGCAGAAUUCUGCCGAGUUCACAGUCCUUGGCCGGAUAAAAAUCCGGGUCCGUUCCGGUUUUCGUAGACCCGACUGUCGUGGGAACGGUCAAGGUAUGUCAAAUGUAACUAUCAACUUAGUUGGUAUUGAAUUUGAGGCCAAAUUUUAAAUUCAAUGACGUGCUCGUGGAAGGUGCACGUCGCAUUGCUAGAAUCGCAAAGAAGCUGGUGUACAACAUUUGAUUAUUUGUCUGCCUUAAAAGCUAGUCCCAAACCAAUGAGCUUUGUGCUUGAGGGUUUGGAAGAGCAAUUACUACGGUGAAUGUGCUGUUCGGAUGUUGCACAAGCUAUUGUCAAUUGCGCUAACAUCCCGAUCAAGCUGUUGGACCAAAACGUUACCAGUUGAGCGAAUUAAUUGAUGUCAUUUGGGUGUACAAUUGUGAAGUAUGGUCGAUUAUGAACGAUGUGGAAAUUGAUAAUUAAACUUUAAAAAACAAAAAAAAAAUGUAAUUUGGUUAAUAAUGAACCGCUAUUAAAAAUUAAGGAAUUUGAGUUGUAUAUUGAGUGAAUAUAUUUCAUUUUUUUUUUCAAAUAUGCCAGUAUUGCUAUUGAGCGUGACAAAAUAGAAUUGCGUAAGUGAAUUUAAACUACUUUUUACUACUAUAGAGAUAUUGCAAAAUCAAAAAAUAAUUCCUUUAAGAAUCCUUUUUAUUUAAAAACUUAGCUUAGAAUUAAAAAAUAAUAUGGAAAAUCUGUUAGGAUGGUCAAACACUCCAUUUGGGAACGUGUAGGAUUCCUGAUCGUCGGCGUAUAGCUAAAUUCUGACACAUAAAAAGUGUAUGUAGUUUGUGAUUACAAAAAUGUAUACUUAAAAUAUAAGAAACAUGGUUAUUAUAA